AACGUAGGAGACAAACGUUAUCCGGAUUUACUGGGCGUAAAGGGCGUGCAGGUGGUCUGUUAAGUCUGGCGUGAAAGCUCUCGGCUAAACCGGGAGAGGUCGUUGGAUACUGGCGGACUAGAGGACGGUAGAGGCGUGUGGAAUUCCGGGUGUAGUGGUGAAAUGCGUAGAGAUCCGGAGGAACACCAGAGGCGAAGGCGGCCUACUGGGCUGCACCUGACGCUGAGCCGCGAAAGCCAGGGGAGCGAACGGG
rnacentral:rRNA from 1 species